rnacentral:rRNA from 1 species
GUGGGGGAUAUUGCACAAUGGGGGAAACCCUGAUGCAGCGACGCCGCGUGAAGGAAGACGUACUUCGGUAUGUAAACUUCUAUCAGCAGGGAAGAAGAUGACGGUACCUGACUAAGAAGCCCCGGCUAACUACGUGCCAGCAGCCGCGGUAAUACGUAGGGGGCAAGCGUUAUCCGGAUUUACUGGGUGUAAAGGGAGCGUAGACGGUGAAGCAAGUCUGAUGUGAAAACCCGGGGCUCAACUCCGGGAUUGCAUUGGAAACUGUUUGACUUGAGUGCGGGAGGGGCAAGCGGAAUUCCUGGUGUAGCGGUGAAAUGCGUAGAUAUCAUGAAGAAUACCGGUGGCGAAGGCGGCUUGCUGGACAGUAACUGACGUUGAGGCUCGAAAGCGUGGGGAGCAAACAGGAUUAGAUACCCUUGUAGUCC